AGACCCCACAUUGUGGGAUUUCACUGGGUAUGUUUUUGGUGUAGUUGUUGUAUUAUAAUUUAUACGUGACUUGUUAAGAACCAAAACUAUCAUCUGAAUGUUUUUGCUAGCAUAAAAGUAGCUGAUUUUGUUCAAUGAAAAAAAGACUUCUUUGGUGGGACUCCUCUAGUAGUAGCUACCUGCCAUGGGCUGUAUAGCUAUAGCAAUUACUUUUGUCCCUUGAGGAGUCCUCUCUGCCGUUAAUGUAAAUUACCUAGUAAAUGUUAAGUCAUGUAUUUGUAACAAAAAUGAUACUCCCUUUG